rnacentral:lncRNA from 1 species
AUGAUAUUCAUAGUUAUCUUUAUUUCAGUCAGUAAAAGUGACCUAAAUUUCAAAAAUUUUUCUGAAAUGCAAGUGGAAACAAUUGAGCCUCUAUUGGAAAAGGAUUCCAGCAAAAUGAAGUGUGUGAAACAGGACUGUCAACACCUUAAUUUUAGCCUGAUAUUCAAGAAAAUUACCCUGUAUUUUAGAUCAUAUUUGGUCGGAACAGCAACACAACGUUCCUGUGCUCAGACAAUGUCGUUAGGACACCUGCUUCAGCGCCUGCUGCUCAUAACCAUCAGGAACUAUGUGAGAUCACACCGGAGUGCCCUAAUACUGGGUUUCCUCUUGAUGCCUCAAGCACAGAAACCUCUUGUUACUACUUUCCCAUUCAUUUCCUGAAAAUGUAAGCUUCUGCUUUAACAAUAGAUCUGUUCACAUUUUAAAGUCCAGACUCUUUGGAACACAACCACACAAUGCAUAGAGAACACAGCUGAGAACUGCAUGCUAUACAAACUAGGCAUGCGCAAAAGUGGGAACUCAAACCGCUGGAACCAAAAAAGCCAGAGCAAUACUGGAGCUUGAGAACCCUGGAGUCCUGUCAGAAGCCCAGUGUUGCUCUGAAUGAGAAGGUACAUUAACUAAAAAUCCAUCUUAGCAUGCUGGCUUGAUUCCAAACCUUAUCAAAUUUUGUCUUUCUAGGCAUUUCUAUGUACAAAUUUUCUUUUACCUAAUCCCUCAGCCAUUUAUUGAGGAGGCAGAUUUGAGUCAUAUACUCCGUUCUUUAUGUUCUUUAGCUAUAAUUUAAGCCUUUCUAUUUUCAAAAGACUGACCCUUUUCAUCAUAGUGCACAACUGGGAAUG